AAUAAAGAAUGCUCUUAUUCCUCUGUUGUGGCUGCCUUUUUUUGUUUGAUGUGUUUGCAGGGUAUGGCCGGUAUGGGCAUCAUGGUGGCAGAUGCUUGGGCGGUGGCAGCCGGUGUCAGACGCGUGGGGGUAAGGGGCCGCUAUAGUGGAGCAGGGUAUGGGCAACGGCGCCAGAAACCUUAGGGUUUCUGGCUUUCCAAAAAAUUUGGAGACUUGGGCUUAUCGGGCUUCACUAUUUCGGGCUGGUGUUGGUUUUGGGUAUUGGGCUAGGCCCAAAAUUGGCCUGUACA
rnacentral:lncRNA from 1 species